AAUGAGAAAAAGGGGGAAAGAAGGAAAAAAAGAACAGGGAAAAGGAGAAGGAAAAGAAGGAAAAAGGGGAAAUGAGAAAUAAAAAAGGGGGGAAUGAGAAAAAAGGGGGGAAUGAGAAAUAAAAAAGGGGGGGAAAUGAGAAAUAAAGAAUAAAGGGGGGGGAGGAAAUUGGGGGGAGGGGGGGACCAGGGGGAGAAAAAUGAGGAAAAAACGAGUGGAAAAAGGAAAAACACACAAAGGAGAAAGAGCACAAAAAAAAAAAUAAAGGAAGAGGAGAGAGGAGGAGACUCAGGAUUCCCCCAAAUGACGUCCCCGUGUCCCCCUCCCCGCCCUAAAAGUGGCGACACUUUAGCACAAAAGGUGAAGUUUGCACUAAAAAAUAAAGCGAAAUAAAGCAAAAAAAAAAAAAAGAAAAAAAAAAGCUCAAACCCUUCCCAAAAUCUCCCGUUUUUGUCCCUGUCCUGUCACCUGCCUUAAACCCCCUGACCCCCCCAAACCCUCCCCCUGUAGCUCAGCCUCGGGAUUUUUAUGGUUAUUAUGAUGAUUUCCAUUUAAUUUGAUUUUUUUUUGUUUGUUUGUUCGGUUUUUUUUGGUGGUGGUUUUCUAAACUCCAGGUCGGGAUCAAACGUUGCCAAAGAAAGUGCUGAGUUACGGUGGGAAAGGGGGAGAGACAGAGAGAGAGAGAGAGAAAUAAUAAUAGUGAUAAUUAUAAUUAUAAUAAUAAAUUAUGAAAUAAUAACCGAAUGAUGAAAUAAUAACGACUGGAUCGAAGCCAAGGGGGAAAUUGGGGGGGGGAAAUGAGGGGUUUGGGGGUAGAAAAGAGGGAAAAAAAUCAGUGUUUUCCCCUCUCUCCCUCCCCCUCCAUCCCAUCACCCCCAGUGUCAGCUCAGAUUUAGGGGGGGGAUUAACCCGGGUUUGGGGGGGGUUGUAAACCCGAAUUUGGGGGGGUUUAGCCCGAAUUUGGGGGGCUCAGCUCGAGUUUGGGGGGCUCAGCCCGGAUUUAGGGGGAGGUUAACUUGGUUGGGGGGGGCUCAGCUCAGAUUUAGGGGGGAUUAACCCAAGUUUGGGGGGGGCUCAGUUCAGGUUUGGGGGGCUCAGCCCAAGUUUAGGGGGGAUUAACCCACGUUUGGGGGGCUCAGCCAGGAUUUAGGGGCAGUUAGUCCAGGUUUGGGGGGGCUCAGCCCGGAUUUAGGGGUAGUUAGUCCAGGUUUGGGGGGGCUCAGCCUGGAUUUAGGGUCAGUUAGCCCAGGUUUGGGGGGCUCAGCCUGGAUUUAGGGGCAGUUGAGCCCAGGUUUGGGGGGCUCAGCCCGGCCGGGGGGGUCCGUCCCCCCCUCAUUGGGGUGUCCCCCCCCCCAAAUCAGCCGGGGGGUGUUUGGGGCCAUUCCCGGCUCAUUUGGGGUCUGGGGGUGACAAAAGGGGGGGUUUGAACCCCCCAAAAUUGUCUCUGGGGGGGUCAGGGGUGUUCUGCUCCCCCCAAACUGAGCACUGGGGGUGUGGGGGGGGUCUCAUUAUUCCCAUUUUUCCACAGGAAAAGGGCUGAUUUCCCCCUCCCCCCCUCCCCAAAUUCCCCUUUACACCCCCAACCUCCCCUUAAUUUCCUAAUUUAACAAUAAACCCCCUCAAACCCCCUCCUUAACCUCCAAAUCUAUUUAUAUUUUUAAUUAAACCCAGAGAAAAAAAAACAAUUAAAAA